rnacentral:rRNA from 1 species
GACGAACGCUGGCGGCGUGCUUAACACAUGCAAGUCGAACGGAAAGGCCCUGCUUUUGUGGGGUGCUCGAGUGGCGAACGGGUGAGUAACACGUGAGUAACCUGCCCUUGACUUUGGGAUAACUUCAGGAAACUGGGGCUAAUACCGGAUAGGAGCUCCUGCUGCAUGGUGGGGGUUGGAAAGUUUCGGCGGUUGGGGAUGGACUCGCGGCUUAUCAGCUUGUUGGUGGGGUAGUGGCUUACCAAGGCUUUGACGGGUAGCCGGCCUGAGAGGGUGACCGGCCACCUUGGGCCUGCGCUACGGCCCAGACUCCUACGGGAGGCAGCAGUGGGGAAUAUUGCACAAUGGGCGGAAGCCUGAUGCAGCAACGCCGCGUGCGGGAUGACGGCCUUCGGGUUGUAAACCGCUUUCGCCUGUGACGAAGCGUGAGUGACGGUAAUGGGUAAAGAAGCACCGGCUAACUACGUG